UACGUAGGGGGCAAGCGUUGUCCGGAAUCAUUGGGCGUAAAGAGCGUGUAGGCGGCUCGGUAAGUCCGCUGUGAAAGUCCAGGGCUCAACCCUGGAAUGCCAGUGGAAACUGUCGAGCUAGAGUCCGGAAGAGGCGAGUGGAAUUCCUGGUGUAGCGGUGAAAUGCGCAGAUAUCAGGAGGAACACCAAUGGCGAGGGCAGCUCGCUGGGACGGUACUGACGCUGAGACGCGAAAGCGUGGGGAGCAAACAGG
rnacentral:rRNA from 1 species